ACGGGAGACACACGGCGGGUGCUAACGUCCGUCGUGAAGAGGGAAACAACCCAGACCGCCAGCUAAGGUCCCAAAGUCAUGGUUAAGUGGGAAACGAUGUGGGAAGGCACAGACAGCCAGGAUGUUGGCUUAGAAGCAGCCAUCAUUUAAAGAAAGCGUAAUAGCUCACUGGUCGAGUCGGCCUGCGCGGAAGAUGUAACGGGGCUAAACCAUGCACCGAAGCUGCGGCAGCGAUAUGAAAAUAUUGUUGGGUAGGGGAGCGUUCUGUAAGCCUGCGAAGGUGGACUGUGAGGUCUGCUGGAGGUAUCAGAAGUGCGAAUGCUGACAUAAGUAACGAUAAAGCGGGAAAAGCCGCUCGCCGGAAGACCAAGGGUUCCUGUCCAACGUUAAUCGGGGCAGGGUAACGCGUUAAGUCGACCGCCUGGGGAGUACGGCGCAAGGUUAAAACUCAAAUGAAUUGACGGGGGGCCGCACAAGCGGUGGAGCAUGUGGUUUAAUUCGAUGCAACGCGAAGAACCUUACCUACUCUUGACAUCCAGAGAACUUAGCAGAGAUGCUUUGGUGCCUUCGGGAACUCUGAGACAGGUGCUGCAUGGCUGUCGUCAGCUCGUGUUGUGAAAUGUUGGGUUAAGUCCCGCAACGAGCGCAACCCUUAUCCUUUGUUGCCAGCGAGUCAUGUCGGGAACUCAAAGGAGACUGCCGGGUGAUAAACCGGAGGAAGGUGGGGAUGACGUCAAGUCAUCAUGGCCCUUACGAGUAGGGCUACACACGUGCUACAAUGGCGUAUACAAAGAGAAGCUAACUCGCGAGAGCAUGCGGACCUCAUAAAGUACGUCGUAGUCCGGAUCGGAGUCUGCAACUCGACUCCGUGAAGUCGGAAUCGCUAGUAAUCGUGGAUCAGAAUGCCACGGUGAAUACGUUCCCGGGCCUUGUACACACCGCCCGUCACACCAUGGGAGUGGGUUGCAAAAGAAGUAGGUAGCUUAACCUUCGGGAGGGCGCUUACCACUUUGUGAUUCAUGACUGGGGUGAAGUCGUAACAAGGUAACCGUAGGGGAACCUGCGGUUG
rnacentral:rRNA from 1 species